rnacentral:rRNA from 1 species
UCGGUCCCGAGUAGAGUGGCGCACGGGUGAGUAACGCGUAAGUGAUCUACCCCUGUAUCUGGGAUAACUGUGGGAAACUGCAGCUAAUACCGGAUACGUUCAUGUAGUUGCGAUUAUGUGAAGAAAGAUGGCCUCUGAUUCAAGCUAUUGUACAGGGAGGAGCUUGCGUACCAUUAGCUAGUUGGUAGGGUAAUGGCCUACCAAGGCAACGAUGGUUAGCGGGUCUGAGAGGAUGAUCCGCCACACUGGAACUGAAACACGGACCAGACUCCUACGGGAGGCAGCAGUGAGGAAUAUUGCGCAAUGGGGGCAACCCUGACGCAGCGACGCCGCGUGGAUGAUGAAGGCCUUCGGGUCGUAAAAUCCUGUCAGAUGGGAAGAAGUGUGCGAUGGCUAAUACCUGUUGCAUUUGACGGUACCAUCAGAGGAAGCACCGGCUAACUCCGUGCCAGCAGCCGCGGUAAUACGGAGGGUGCAAGCGUUGUUCGGAAUUACUGGGCGUAAAGCGCGCGUAGGCGGUUUGUUAGGUCAGAUGUGAAAGCCCAAGGCUCAACCUUGGACGUGCAUUUGAAACUGGCAGACUUGAGUAUUGGAGGGGGUGGUGGAAUUCCCGGUGUAGAGGUGAAAUUCGUAGAUAUCGGGAGGAAUACCGGUGGCGAAGGCGACCACCUGGCCAAAUACUGACGCUGAGGUGCGAAAGCGUGGGGAGCAAACAGGAUUAGAUACCCUGGUAGUCCACGCCGUANACGAUGAGAACUAGGUGUUGGGACGGUUGAUCGNCUCAUUGCCGCAGCUAACGCAUUAAGUUCUCCG